rnacentral:lncRNA from 1 species
CAGUCAAUGUUUAUUGUUCUUCUGAAUUGGACACAUCCACGAUGUGGGAGUUCUUUUUCACAAAGGCAGCUUGCAUUAGAAACUUCCAGAUAAAUGCAGAAGAAUCUCCUGACCACUGAAAAGACAAAUGAGGAAAUUCCCCCUACGGUGCACGUUCCCUCAAACAUACAACUACAGUACAACAAGAUAACGACUUUAGCGCCUCUGCUUUGAAAAACCAGUCAGGAGCAGCAGGAUGGAUUCAUGGAAAAGACUCUGACACUUAACUCUGGGACACAGUUUUCUGAUAAACUUUCAGAUCAUAGAACUGAACUCUGGGUAAGAAAUUACAGAAAUCUAAUGGAAAAACUGAUGACCCCAUAAAACUGCUAACAGAAGAUUACGAUCAAGAACUGAUUAUACAGGACUGAAUGAACUGAGGAUUAUAAUUUUUAUGACUUUUAUUUGAAACAUUGUUGAUUUUUGAUGUUUUGCUUUGUUUUCUCAGAUUCAAGAAAAUCUUUUUCUCUUUUCUCUUGUGCUAUGACUUAGCAAUUUGGUGAAAUUAUACCUUUGUGAGCAAAGAUGAAACAUUUGUCUUUUUCUCCCUAUCUGAUCCCUCCAGAAUAUGGAAACUCUUUGUGAGUAUGGUUAUUUCAUGGCAAUAUAGUUAUUUGCAUAAGUUCAAUAAGAAUUUGGUCUCCUUAUAACAGGACACAUUGGUUAUCUUACCAAGGCUUUCACUGGAAUGUCAUAUUUGAGAGAAAUAUACAGGCUCAGAUAUGACAACACAGCUUUUCAGGAACAAAGAUUGGACUUUCUGGAACUAAAGGCACUUGGAAAUAUGGGCCUGGUACCUUGUUUACAGAGAUUCUGGCAAUCUUACCCGGUAAGUAAGGAAGCUUGCUUGUCUGGCAGGUGCAAGGAACCUCAAAAUGUUUUGGGGGACCUCGAGAAGAGAGGAGUCCACCCAAAUCUGGAGGUACUGCAGGCAAAAUCUGAUGGCAAGUCCUUGGCUUGGCUUUUCUGGCCUCAAGAGGCCCUUACAGUUCAAUCUGAGAUUCCUCAUAAAAAAAAAAUUCCAGCAAAGCAGAUUUAAAAAAGCCUGUAUAAUCAAUUGGUAUUCUUGCUGCACUUAUGUAAAUAAUUGGCAGACCAGUUAAUCUUAAUUUGGCUAUCUUUUAUAAAAAUGAGGGUGAUUUUAGAGAGAAAAAAUUAUGUUUCAGUAGAAGGUAUAGUACGCAUUCAUGGAUAUUAGACUCUAGCUCUUCUCUUCUGCAAGAUUCAUCUGUUACUAAUCAUAAUGUCUCCUUGUGGCCAUCCAUCUCUGAUACCUGGG